rnacentral:rRNA from 1 species
UACGGAGGGGGCAAGCGUUAUUCGGAAUUAUUGGGCGUAACGGGCGCGUAGGCGGCUAGAUGUGUCAAAGGUGAAAUCCCUCGGCUCAACUGAGGAACUGCCUUUGAAACUGUCUGGCUUGAGGCCGGGAGAGGGUAGCGGAAUUCCCAGUGUAGCGGUGAAAUGCGUAGAUAUUGGGAGGAACACCAGUGGCGAAGGCGGCUACCUGGACCGGUUCUGACGCUGAGGCGCGAAAGCGUGGGUAGCAAACAGG